rnacentral:rRNA from 1 species
UGGUGGGUAGUUUGACUGGGGCGGUCUCCUCCUAAAGAGUAACGGAGGAGCACGAAGGUUGGCUAAUCCUGGUCGGACAUCAGGAGGUUAGUGCAAUGGCAUAAGCCAGCUUGACUGCGAGCGUGACGGCGCGAGCAGGUGCGAAAGCAGGUCAUAGUGAUCCGGUGGUUCUGAAUGGAAGGGCCAUCGCUCAACGGAUAAAAGGUACUCCGGGGAUAACAGGCUGAUACCGCCCAAGAGUUCAUAUCGACGGCGGUGUUUGGCACCUCGAUGUCGGCUCAUCACAUCCUGGGGCUGAAGUAGGUCCCAAGGGUAUGGCUGUUCGCCAUUUAAAGUGGUACGCGAGCUGGGUUUAGAACGUCGUGAGACAGUUCGGUCCCUAUCUGCC